CUACGUGUUAAGCAGCCUCACAGUUACGAGGAUUCAAGUCCCAGCCCCGAACCGGCUGCCUUCAGAGCAACACAGAGCUUCUUUGGAACAAGGAGCAACAUUUAAUAUCCGUGAGAUCUUUAAGAUGAUGGAAAAUGCAUGGUUAGUGGUCCUGAGGAACAGAAUCACAUAAAUAAUGAAAGAUGUGCCAUGGUCCGGAUACUUGUGUCCCACUAGUAAGACGACGCAUGGUUCACCCCAGGGAGAGGGCAUAAACCGGGCAACAGGCUUUCUGGAAGAGCAUCUCCGUAAUGUCU